GAUGCCAAGAUGGUUACUACACAUAACCCACGGACA
rnacentral:tRNA from 1 species